AGUUGAUGGUGCGGGCACUGCCGUAAAAGCUCCUGAAAUCUAUCCCAUGCCUCAUGAAAAGGCUCAUCAGCUCUUUGUAUAAAAUCCAUAAUCUUAGCACGAAGUU